rnacentral:misc_RNA from 1 species
GUGAAUCAUCAAAUCUUUGAACGCAAAUUGCACUCUCCUCGGAGAGUAUGCCUGUUUGAGGGUCAGCCUAAAAAAAAUCGACAUCGUUGCUGUUUCGCGGUGACGUUCGUCGGAAAUUGGGCCAUCUUAAACCGAAAGGUUUUUAAGCGACUUAAAAUUUUCUUUACGAUCUCGCGAACGUUUCUAAGAUUUUCUUGUACGUUCAAGGUAUCGAUAUUAGACGUGACCGUCGUAUCGGAUCGCGUCCAUAAUAAUUUCUUUAACUGACCUCAGACAGGUAAGAGUACCCGCUGAACUUAAG